GACUCUUAGCGGUGGAUCACUCGGCUCGUGCGUCGAUGAAGAACGCAAGAAUUAAUGUGAAUUGCAGGACACAUUGAUCAUGGACACUUCGAACGCACUGGCGGCCCCGGGUUCCUCCCGGGGCCACGCCUGUCUGAGCGUCG